CCUACGGGUGGCAGCAGUGAGGAAUAUUGGUCAAUGGCCGCAGGGCUGAACCAGCCAAGUCGCGUGAGGGAUGACGGUCCUAUGGAUUGUAAACCUCUUUUGUCAGGGAGUAAAGGGCGCCACGUGUGCCUCUUUGCGAGUACCUGAUGAAUAAGCAUCGGCUAACUCCGUGCCAGCAGCCGCGGUAAUACGGAGGAUGCGAGCGUUUUCCGGAUUUAUUGGGUUUAAAGGGUGCGUGGGCGGAAUGUAAAGUCAGUGGUAAAGUUUGGGGGCUCAACCCUGUCGUGGCGUUGAAACUGGCGUUCUUGAGUGAGCGAGAGGUAUGCGGAAUGCGUGGUGUAGCGGUGAAAUGCAUAGAUAUCACGCAGAACUCCGAUUGCGAAGGCAGCAUACCGGCGCUCAACUGACGCUGAUGCACGAAAGCGUGGGUAUCGAACAGGAUUAGAUACCCUUGUAGUC
rnacentral:rRNA from 1 species